GUCGGGAAUAUUGUCCUGUCACAGCAGUACGUCUUAUUCGAGUUACUGGUGUGAUGGGACAUUGUCCUCGGC
rnacentral:pre_miRNA from 1 species